UUCCGGUUGAUCCUGCCGGACCCCACUGCUAUCGGGAUAGGACUAAGACAUGCUAGUCGAGCGCGUCAGCCAAAACGACGCGCGGCAUACAGCUCAGUAACACGUGGCUAAUCUGCCCUUGGGACGAGAACAAACCCGGGAAACUGGGGCUAAUUCUCGAUAGAUGAAGAACUCUGGAAUGAGUCUUUAUCAAAAAAGAUUUACGUUAUGCUCGUGAAUCCGCCCAAGGAUGAGGCCGCGACCGAUCAGGUUGUUGGUGAGGUAACGGCUCACCAAGCCUUUUACCGGUGCGGGCCGUGGGAGCGGGAGCCCGGAGAUGGGUACUGAGACAAGGACCCAGGCCCUACGGGGCGCAGCAGUCGCGAAACCUUAGCAAUACACGCAAGUGUGACAGGGCUAUCCCGAGUGCCAUCCGCUGAGGAAGGCUUUUACCCAGUAUAGAAAGCUGGGGGAAUAAGGAGAGGGCAAGUCUGGUGUCAGCCGCCGCGGUAAUACCAGCUCUCCGAGUGGUGUGGAUGUUUAUUGGGCCUAAAGCAUCCUUAGCUGGCUAAGUUAGUCCUUUGUUAAAUCCACCGAAUUAAUCGUUGGGUUGCGAGGGAUACUGCUUGGCUAGGGGACGAGAGAGGCAGACGGUAUUUUCGGGGUAGGGGUGAAAUCCUAUAAUCCCGGGAAGACCACCAGUGGCGAAGGCUGUCUGCUAGAACGCGCCCGACGGUGAGGGAUGAAAGCUGGGGUAGCGAACCGGAUUAGAUACCCGGGUAGUCCCAGCUGUAAACGAUGCAGGCUAGGUGUUUGGACGGCCACGUGCCGUUCUAGUGCCGCAGGGAAGCUGUUAAGCCUGCCGCCUGGGGAGUACGAUCGCAAGAUUGAAACUUAAAGGAAUUGGCGGGGGAGCACCACAAGGGGUGAAGCUUGCGGUUUAAUUGGAUUCAACGCCGGG
rnacentral:rRNA from 1 species